UGAAAUUAUUUCGAAGGUUUAAAUGAUUUCUUGGGCUUGGUUUCUAUUGGUGCUUGGUACGGGAAUGGAAGGAAUGCUGGAUGGUACAAUCCAUUUCUAAUGGCUUGCUAUGAUCCCGACACUGAUGAAUAUCAAAGUGUCUGUCGUGUAAUGUCCGGCUUCUCUGAUGCGUUCUGUAUAGAGGUUCUCUGUCUCCACUCUGAAAACCCUAGCUCCGCACCAUAUUCUUCAAAAAUGAGGGUGGGAUGCGACAUAGAUGAUGAGAAUCCGAGUCUAGAUUCGACUUGCUAGGUUUGUAUUCAUCUUUUAAUCGUUAUAUAUGUUUUUAGGGUUCUUACGUGUGCUUUUAAUUCAGCGAGUUUAUUCAUAUUAGAAGAAAUAAUGAAGAAAUUGUUCUUGAUUGA